GGGCAUGUGGUUUAGUGGUAUAACAUUCGCUUAGCAUCUUUAGCUUGCGAAAGGUUCGGCGUUCAAUUCGCCGCUUGUCCA
rnacentral:tRNA from 1 species